rnacentral:lncRNA from 1 species
AGAAGAACAACAAAGGAACAAAAUAAACAAAUAAAAGAAAAAAAGGACAAAUCAGGAGAGAAUGGAACAGCUCGCACCCUGCCAAGGCAGUUACCUCUCCAGAUGCAAAUUUUUUGCAUCUGGCAAUAGCCCUCCGAUGCUGAGGGUGUCUAUGUGGCUGCAUCCCCAACAUCCAGGGCAGAUAUAUAAUCGCUCCCUUUGCUGAAAAUGGGGGCAGCAUCCCUUAAAAAAAUCCUAGAAAAGCCGUAGCAACUAGAGAGCAAAACCCUAGCCACAGCAAAACCAAAGAAAAAAACCAAGAAAUGCCCUUGGAAAUCUAGCAGCUAGAACCACAAUAAGAAAAAAAAAACAAAAAAAUUAGAAAAUAAAGAGAGUGCCGGAAGAGUCAUAGAAAAAUGAAAAUAGGAAAAGGGGUAGGUUAGUUUUUUUUCUUUCGAUUUUCCUCUUUUCAUUUUGUUUGAAGAGUUUAGGGUUUCAUAAUUGGUUGUUUAGAGGGGGCUAGAUCGGAGGUUGAAAGGGGAGUAGCAAAUAGGGAAAGAGUUUAAGGGCUUGGGUUUCGGUUCUCCGGUCAUCAAUGGAGAAAGAGAGAAGAAGGGUUGCAGUCUUUGAGGGUUUAGAGAAAAGUGGG